rnacentral:rRNA from 1 species
UGAGGGAUAUUGGUCAAUGGGCGCAAGCCUGAACCAGCCAUCCCGCGUGAAGGAUGAAGGUCCUAUGGAUUGUAAACUUCUUUUAUACACCAAGAAAAACUCGAACAUGUUCGAGUCCGACGGUAGUGUAUGAAUAGGCAUCGGCUAACUCCGUGCCAGCAGCCGCGGUAAUACGGAGGAUGCAAGCGUUAUCCGGAUUCAUUGGGUUUAAAGGGUCCGUAGGCGGCUUAAUAAGUCAGUGGUGAAAGCCCAUCGCUCAACGAUGGAACGGCCAUUGAUACUGUUAGACUUGAAUUACAAGGAAGUAACUAGAAUAUGUAGUGUAGCGGUGAAAUGCUUAGAUAUUACACAGAACACCAAUUGCGAAGGCAGCUUACUAAGCUGUUACUGACGCUGAUGCACGAAAGCGUGGGGAGCGAACA